UACGAAGGGGCUAGCGUUGUUCGGAAUUACUGGGCGUAAAGCGCACGUAGGCGGAUCGAUCAGUCAGGGGUGAAAUCCCAGGGCUCAACCCUGGAACUGCCUUUGAUACUGUCGAUCUGGAGUAUGGAAGAGGUGAGUGGAAUUCCGAGUGUAGAGGUGAAAUUCGUAGAUAUUCGGAGGAACACCAAUGGCGAAGGCAGCUCGCUGGGACGUACUGACGCUGAGACGCGAAAGCGUGGGAGCAACAG
rnacentral:rRNA from 1 species